rnacentral:lncRNA from 10 species
UGCUUUUCUAGCAAUAGUGAAUAAGUCUCAUGAGAUCUAAUGGUUGUAAAAAGGGGAGUUCUCCUGCAUAAACUCUCUCUUUGUAGGAGCUAAGAUUGCAAGAUCAGGGAGAGAGCAGGGCCAAACUAUAUCCGGCUUUGUAGGCCUUGGUGAGGACUUCUAUUCUCAUUCUGAAUGAGAAAGGAAGUCAACAGAAACUUUUUAACCAAGUGGCAAUAUGAUCUGAUUUGCAUUUUACGAGGAUCUCAUUGACCACCACAUAAAAAAAAGGCUCUAGAAAACCAAGGACAAAAGCAGGAAGAACCUUCACAAGACCAGUGCAACAAUCCAGGACUCACAGGUUGGAGGGCCUGAGAAGUUCUCUUGAUUGUGGGAAAAAGAGGAUUAAGUCAAAAGGAUUUACACCCAGCCUCAUCCUGUACUCUAAACCAUUAUUCAGCCAUGUUUGAGGACAGGAGAAGCUGCUGUGGAUUGGGUGACGGCUGUUUUCAGUGAAUUCAGUGAAUUCAGGAGACGUGCUAUGUUCCUGAGCAUGGAUGCUCCCCGUGUCUCCCAGAAGUCUCCAUUUACUCCUCUAUCCUUAAUAAACUGC